UACUUUUAGAAGAACUUGAGCAACUGUAUAAAUAGGUGCUUGUUACUUUAUCCUUCAUGGUGAUAAAUGAUAGUGAUAAAUGCAGGUGGCUCUCUUUGGAUGUAGGCAUAUCAAAGAAGCACGUAAAACUUCCCGUGUGUUUUUCUUUUCUUUUCAAUAUGAUCGUUAUUUUAAUUUGUCUGUAUUUUUUCCACAUUUUUCAUUUUUAAGAUUUUUCUGUGAGGAUGAAGUAGAAAAUGAACUUACUGAUCAAAGAUGGAUGGAAGGUAGCAAUUUUUUUGCGUAGAUGGUCCACCAUGGACCAAGAGUAAAUGCAUUGUGGGACCCACUUAUCUUGCAUGUGAGUCUCACAUGCUUGUGUCUCGGUCUGUGGUGGAAUGGAAGAAAAAUCCAGAUACGAGUAGAUAGCAGAACCUUUUAUUUGGAGGUCGAGGUGUAUUCUGCCCUUACUGCAUUUGAAUUAUAAUUGAAAGUUAAUGUUGGUUUUGCUCUUCAGACCUGCAUAAGUGAAUUUGUUUUUAUUCUAUUUUUUAGAGGUUAUAGAAAUGUUUAUUUGAGCUGUCUAAAAUUCUUGUAUCAGAUUACAUAUUGAAAGUUUACUUAUCAAUUAUGCAAUCUAUCCGAAUUUUGGAUUGACAAAGUUUAUCCACUUGUAGGAAUUUUUCCCCCUGUUUUUUAAGCUUCCUUGGACACUCACAAUAUUAUGACAAUUCUUCUAAAGUAAAGGCCUGUAAGAAAAAAUGAAAAUCGCAAAGGAAACAAUAUUGUAGUGUAGGUGCAUGCAAUGGCUUUGUAAUAAAGUUAAGAAAGCAAUAUUAUAUUAUCAGCACAGAGUCAUGCACUUGCACUUCUCUUUUUUUCAACCAUAUGGGUUUCCAUCUCUUGUAACCAAAUUGUCCCUUGUUCACAGAUGGGGGAAUACGCCGCUUGAUGAAGCCCGUCUAGGUGGCAAUAAGAACUUCAUUAGGUUGUUUGAGAUUGCAAGAACUUCUCAGAUCUCUGAGUUCUCUGAUUGUCAUGGACAGAAACAAGGUACUAUUGUAAUUUCAUGUAUUGUCUUUCAUUUGAUCCUAAUUAUUGCUGGAAUACAUCUACGAUACAGUUUGUUGCACCCAAAAGGUGCCAGACUAUUCAUUAAUCAGUUCAAUAUUUAGUUUAUGAAGCAUAAUAAAAGCUUAAGAAGAAAAUAGCAACAUAUAGUUUAUCAAGAAAUGGAAUUGUUUAAACAGAAAACCCCUAAUUUAGUGUAGGAAUGAGAAACAAUUCUCAGUCAAUGGUUCUUCAAUCAUCACCGAUGAUAUCAUCCUGACUAUACCUGAUUAUAUACGAGUAUUGUUGUUCUGGUUCAGUCUGGAUCGGUUCAGGUUCGGUCUAGUUUUGAUCAAAUCUAACAUUCUAUUUAUUUUUUUAAAUUUAAAUUUUGGCUGGUUUUGUUCUGGUUCAAAAAUGGUUUCUGUCAAGCGGAUUAGACCAGUCCGGUUUCGGUCCCGGAUUAGACCAGUCCGGUUUCAGGCCAAAACCAGACAGUGGCCGGCCAUGCCUAAUGUCAAAAAUACAAAACGUUAUUCCAGUUAUAAACAUAUAUUUGCUAAAAGGUGGUCUGAUUUUUAUGCUUGAAAUGGUUUCUCUACUAAUACCUCAAAACAUCUUAUUUUCUAGCAGCAGCUAAAAGGCAACGAAGGAGAUGCACAGUGUAUCCAUUCCACCCUUGGGAUCCAAUAGAGAAGAGAAGACAGGGAGUGGUAUUGUGGGUUCCUCAAACCAUGGAAGAGCUUGUCAAGGCAGCAAUGGAGCAAUUGAAUUGCUUGGGAUGUUGCAUUUUGUCUGAAAAUGGGGGUAAAAUUGUUGAUGUCAACAUGAUUACUGAUGACCAGAAACUAUAUUUGGUCAGUGAAUCAUAGCAUGAUAUCUAAUUCGCCAGUAAAAUAAGCUAUUACAGCAUGAUAUCUAUUUCGCCAGUAAAAUAAGCUAUCUCCUUUCCGUUUAUUUUGAGAGAUGAUACGGUAUCUACAAUGUGUUCUAGUGCAACUUUUUAUUGAAUAUUGGAUAAACCUUUGAUGAGGAUAUUGGGGGUGUAAUAUGCUAUUAUAAUGCUGUGAUGCUAUGCUAUUAUGUUAGUAGAAUU
rnacentral:misc_RNA from 1 species